rnacentral:rRNA from 1 species
AGCGAACGCUGGCGGCAGGCCUAACACAUGCAAGUCGAACGCCCCUUCGGGGGAGUGGCGGACGGGUGAGUAACGCGUGGGAACGUGCCCUUUGGUACGGAACAACUGAGGGAAACUUCAGCUAAUACCGUAUGAGCCCCCAUUCUUAGCGGGAUGGGUGGGAAAGAUUUAUCGCCGAAGGAGCGGCCCGCGUUGGAUUAGCUAGUUGGUGGGGUAAAGGCCCACCAAGGCUACGAUCCAUAGCUGGUCUGAGAGGAUGAUCAGCCACACUGGGACUGAGACACGGCCCAGACUCCUACGGGAGGCAGCAGUGGGGAAUCUUGCGCAAUGGGCGAAAGCCUGACGCAGCCAUGCCGCGUGAAUGAUGAAGGUCUUAGGAUCGUAAAAUUCUUUCACCGGGGAAGAUAAUGACGGUACCCGGAGAAGAAGCCCCGGCUAACUUCGUGCCAGCCGCCGCCGUAAAAC